rnacentral:rRNA from 1 species
AUUGAACGCUGGCGGCAGGCUUAACACAUGCAAGUCGAACGCCCCGCAAGGGGAGUGGCAGACGGGUGAGUAACGCGUGGGAAUCUACCCAGUUCUACGGAAUAACCCAGGGAAACUUGGACUAAUACCGUAUACGCCCUACGGGGGAAAGAUUUAUCGGAAUUGGAUGAGCCCGCGUUGGAUUAGCUAGUUGGUGGGGUAAUGGCCUACCAAGGCGACGAUCCAUAGCUGGUCUGAGAGGAUGAUCAGCCACACUGGGACUGAGACACGGCCCAGACUCCUACGGGAGGCAGCAGUGGGGAAUAUUGGACAAUGGGCGCAAGCCUGAUCCAGCCAUGCCGCGUGAGUGAUGAAGGCCUUAGGGUUGUAAAGCUCUUUCAGUGGGGACGAUAAUGACGGUACCCACAGAAGAAGCCCCGGCUAACUUCGUGCCAGCAGCCGCGGUAAUAC